rnacentral:lncRNA from 1 species
AUUUUUAGGGCCAUGCCCAAACUGCAGUUUGUAAUAAAAUCCCUCUUGUGUGUUACAUUGUUGAUCUGGUUUCAUACUUGGGAUCAUAAACAGGUACUUCAUAUGGGGGCUCAUUCCGGGAUCCCAUGAAGGAAAAAAAGUAUGGCCAACAGAGGAAGGGGACCCCUGUCCCAGGACGACUUGGGUCAACAGGAUCUGGAACAUGUCACAUCUUGGUGGAGGACAGUAGGGUCCGUUGCUUCUAGGGUAGAAGCACUUCUGGGAGUCACCCAGAUGCCACUGCAACCUCUGCAACCAUCCCAGCCUGAAGCCCUGGACAUUGCCUACAGUCAAUACUCCUCUCCUAAAAGUAGGCAAGGACAGCUUUACAACCAUUCUCAGCUCUGAAGAAGCUACAGAAGACUGAGACCAUUGCCCCCUUUCCCUAGAUAUUUGGAGAGGAGGAGAUGUCACGGGCAUUGUACCCCCAGAAACUCCGGCAGACCAUUGCCAGGGAAAUUCCUUUGCUCCCUUACAUCCUCGUGAUGCUGAUCAUACUGGGCUAAUUAAGGAAUCUAGUUCCAUGCAUUCUUAAUCACGUAGUAGCCUUCAUCAAGGAUCACAUUAAUACUGUCCAGCUAUGGUCCUUCACCAGCAAUAUCAAACUCUGACUCCUACUGAAUCCCCUUAUGAGGAUACAGUCACAUGAGGAAGAUUCCUCAUGUACAAUAGAAGAAGUGGGGAAUGAAGAGCCAGCUCCCAAACCUCUUCUUUCCCCUCCCUGCCCCCUAACCCUGUCCCUCCCCCUCCUGACAUAUGCUAAGAACUGAUAAGGACCCCAGCCCAGGAAUACCUGUCACACACCCCCUCCAGGAAUUGAUAACAACCCUAACUGAUAAGGACCCCAGCCCCAGGAGUUCCUGUUCACUCCCCCUACCACAAAAGUGUAUAAAAAGCCUGCCAGCCCAAGAUUCAGGGACAGCCAUUUUUAGGACUGUGCCCAAACUGCAGUUUGUAAUAAAAUCCCUCUUGUGUG